CAGGCACUUGGGAAGUUUACUGGCCUGAAAGUUGGUGAAUUCUGGGUACCAAGGAUAUAAAUAAGCAAUGCGGCUAAAAAGAGAGAAAAAAAAAAGGAAAGAAUAUAGGACAAAGCAUUAAGCAAAGUCCAGAAAUACCCUGAGGCCUGAGCAUCCACAUGUCAAAGCCAAAAUCAAGCUUUCAAGGGAAAUCUAAGAAACAGAAGCAAAAGAGAUAAGAAAGCCCUGUGAAGCACUGAUGGUGACAGCCCAUCUGACUUCAGUUCAUCUGAGACCUUCCUAUUGUGGAUUUUUCUCACCUUCACAUAAAAGGGUUGGCAGCAGGCAAACUUAUGGUUUCCUUCAUCACUAAAUCCACAAGUCUGAUCUGGCUGUGGAAAUCUGCAGUGAGGACUGGAAAGAAGAAAAUAUUGCCUGUUGCAGAAAUGCAAUGGGUAGCACCAACCUAAAUCUCCACCUUGACCUCAGGAAAGAAGCCAGAGCUUAAUGAUACAGAACUUGAAUUUUAAUAAGAAGAAGCUUCUUCCUGAGUCAUGAAUUUCUUCCCCUGACUGGGCUGGAAAUACUGUGCGGAUACCUUCACCCUGUCAGCAUUUCCACAUCAAGUCUUGGAAUCUGGAAAGUGAUGCGAAGGAACGCAAAACAAUGGUUUGAGAUACCAAAUAUAUGAGUCGAGUCUACAGAAGAGCGGCCUGUAGUUGGAAUAUAAUCCAUAGUUCCAGGAACAAAAACAGGAGGUGGAAGGCAGAAACAGCAGCAGAAACAGUGUGUCACAGACCAAAUCAAGAACCCAGCGCCACCCACCCCACAUGAAAACAUGUCUGAGCUGCAGUAGAGUCUGCUGAUCCUGGAUAGGCCUCAUGAGCUAUCUUUGGACACACAGAUAAGACAGUCAUGCAAGACAACCAUCCUUGACUGCAAGGGAUUGCCGAAGAAGACUACAGACCUUACCCUGAUGCAAGAUUCUUUCCUUUGGUAGGGAGGGGCUAAAAAGGAGGGAUUGGUUAGGCACCCCAUUCAUAAAGUGAAAUUUUGGGGCUCGGUUCUCACCUAACACUUCUUUCCAGAGUGAGUAAUCGUAGUUAUUCAGUAUCUUCUCACACACAGACUAGAGUGCAUUCCCCGUGAUUAAUGUUGUUCUUUUCAGUGGAGAACUUUAUGGCCCAUGUUCUCUGGGCUGCUCCAAGGUGUCUACGCUGAUAUCCCAAUUUCAUUUCUGGGAUUUGGUACAUGUGGAAUGGGUGGGUGGCUGGAUUGCUAUGUCUUGGCUCUGCUCCCAGGCCUGGCCUUUAAGUUAUAUGCAUGAGCCCCAUGUGUGUCUGUGUAUAUUGUAUUCAGCUUCUACACUAUUAGCCCCUGGUUGCAUUUCCCUAGGGAACUACCACAUUCCAUUUCUUUUUCUUAUCAAAGCUAAGGACAUUCCUCCAUCGUGAGUUAAAUUUAGUAGUGCUGUCUAGCAGCAACACACUUUCCUGUUCAAUCAAAUAUAUCCCCUAUUUUGUGUGUAUUGGUAGAACUGUUUCAAUGGACAAUACAUUGCUUCAUACCUGACCUAAAUCACCAUACACUUGUGCCAGCUGCACUCCUUCCCUUUCCUCUAUUUUAGAUCUGUUGAGGGUCAUAGGAAAUGUUCUAGUGCCCCUGAAUCAACCAGAAUUUUCAGCACUUCCCUUAACAUACCUCACGUUACCCAGAGAGUCCCUAAUACCUCCUUUUGAGCUGAUUAUGAUUUUUUUUGCACCUAUCUGAUUCCAUACAGGCACCAAGGAUCCAGUAUUAGUGGUUAUUCUGUGGAAGAGGAGGAUGGAAUACUGCCCUGUGGACAUGAAAAGCAACGCAACAGCUUAGUAAUGGUUAAAAAUGAUAGGCAGGGUGAGGGCAGGCCCUGAAGGGUCAGGUAGGGGUGGGAAUAGAGCCUGCCUGUACUGGCCCUGGUCAGCAGGUCGGGGUGCAACAGCAGCCUCUGAGGAGGCUGCCAAACUGCCCCUCUCCUAGCUCCACACCACCUUGCCCAGCUCCGGGGCUGUCAGCAGGAAGGAAGAGGGAGAAGGGAAGGGGAAGCAAGCAGUAUUGAGCUGCAGCUGGGCUUUGCCCAGCCUGAGCUGGGGGGGCGUGGAUCAGAAUCGUGUCAUCUCCCCCCCACCCCCACCCCCCAUGGCUCCCCUCCUGUGAAAAAUGUAACUUGUGUAAGAGCCCUUAGUCUGUGCAAAUACAGACCUCAGGAAUCCUUUUGGAGGCAUCCCAGUGCAGCUUUCACCAGAACUCGAUAAGGAAGUUUGAGAUUCUAUAGAGAUAUCUUUAGUCAAGGAAACAUUGAAACUUCUAUCUUAAUGCAUUUAGCUGUAGCAUCCACCAUCUUUGCAUUCAUUGGAAGCACUUUAGAGAGAGCAAAUUAAAUACAUAAUGACAUGAAGGAGACCAAGCGACUACGCUCUGAUGGAUUUUACUGUAGGCUAGCACCCUGGAAGUGAAAAUUUCCACUUACACUCUUGACCUUGGUCUUAAAAUUCUGCUUUAUGACAUAAAGCUACAGAGCAGGCAGAGACAUUUUAACAUUUUUCUUUUUAAUUGAACUAAGAGCAGGGACGUAAAGAUGGAUAUAAUUCAUAAUAGUGCAAUUGGUAGAACACUGUUUCAAUAUUGCACUUCAAAUAUAAGAGCUCAUGUUGCCUUAGGAAAGUAUUGUAAAAAAUGCAUAAUAACAGGUUAUUGUGUAAUGUGCUGUAAAGCCAUCAAACAAGGGUGUUCCUUUUUCCUUACUACAAACCAGCUCAAUAAUGUGCCUGCAGUCAAAAACCUAUUAGCCACAGUGGAGUGUGCAGAAUGAAACUGAAUGUUUUGCAUUUUCUAAGAUGUAGAAAAAGUUUUUCUAGUAUAUCCACUUAAAGAUUGUUUUGUAAAGUAUGAUGCAUCUAUGCUACAGUAUUACUUAGAAAAAAAUCCAGUUUCAUUGCAUGAACAAGGUUAGAUAAAUGAAUCCAAAUGGACAAGUCAAUGCAUCAAAAAAAAAAGGAAACUUCAAAUAUAAGUUAUUACUUUUGGAAUACUGAUAAUAUAUAUAUGCUAAAAGGGUUCUCUUAAGUCAGUGAAGACCCUCCAGCAGAUUUAUAAAUAAUGAAAGGUUUGUUAAGCCCAAAAGUAACAGCAGGGCUUUCAUUCUUUUUUUUUUUAUUUGAAUGGAAAGGUUUUGUCCGAUUUUAGAAUGUGGUGCACUUUAAGAAGUGACGAUGUGAAAAAGGCACUUUCUUGCAUAGCCAGGUUGCUCUAUCUGGGCGUGCCUACAUGAGGUGCUAUGUUGCCGUAGCAACGAGCUAGGGUGAUAUUGCGCAUCGCUAAAGCAACAAAGAGCUGGCCAUCACUAACCAUGAUGCUGCCGCUACCGUGCAGUAAGGUAAAAAUGACCCGUGCACUGCUGGGACUGUACAGUACUGGGAGGUAUUGUGUGGUCAUUUAGUACUUGGUCCCAGGGAUAUGUCUCAGUUAAAGCAAGUACUAAAUGACUACAACGUACCAACUACGCAGGCAGGGGCACGUGUAGACAUGCCCUGUAUGUAACAAGAAUAUUGACUGACAAGAACAUUUCAUAAAGGGCCCCCCAUUCUUAAUAUUCAUGUUUGCACACAAAAAAUCCUCUGGAGAGAGUUACUGGAUCAGCAGACUAUUACUGAGACUGCUGUAACAUUGCACCAUGGUUACAAUUAACAACUAAUAUCAUUAUAUUAAAAAAUUUACUGUACAAUAUGUCUCUCUCUCAUAUUUGUGACUGCAUGUUAUCAGUCUCACUGUUACCUUGUGUGGUCAGUCAGCCCCCAAUCCUGUGAGCUCUUAUGCACGUGCUCACCUUUACAGAGGGUUUGUCUAGUUACAAAACUACACCACUUGAAUUAUAUCAGUAUAGAUAAAUCAGUACAACCUCCCUUACAUGGAUUCAGUUCUGCCAGUAUAAAUGAGCUUGAAAGGCUGUAGAUAUUCCUUUUCAGUUAUACUAGUGUAAGGUACCUUUCUACCAGGGUAACUGCCUCUCUAUUAUAAAAAGUCAUAGCAGUACAACUUUUAGUGUUAAAAAAAAAGUCACUCUGAACUGAACUAAUUAUCCUGGCACAAAAACUGCAUAUAGCCUAGACCUCAGGAUAUCAUUAAGUACAGGAUAUCAUUAAGUAUUGGUGCUUGUAGAAUUGGGAAAUAAAUCAGCCAAAACAGUGGCCACUAGUGCAAACUCUAGAUAAACAAUCUGAUUUGGAAAGUCAGAGUUUCUUGCAAAUGAAUAUUUUGGACACAUAACCAAAAAUGCCUUUUACGCACUACAUUUCCUCUCUGUGUUUACAAAUCAAAGGUUUUUGAUGCAUCUUUCACGUUUUAACUGGAUUCUGGUAAUUAGCGCCAACAAUUUUAGAUAGGAAGAAUGAUUUGUACCUAGAUCAAAGACGCACAACCAGGUGAUCUCAUGAAUAGUAUCCUUGAUAGUUGUUGGGGAAGAGUGCAACUAGUAUUUAAUGUUCAUUUGGUACUUAUCUAAAACUGAAAAUAUUCAUCAUGAUAUGUAAAUCAGAGUGGAGAAUACAUGCUUUAGAAAUCAUAUAUUCCCAGAUUCAUUAUUAUAGUUGUAAUCUUUUUAGGAAUUUUAGGAGGCUGGGAGCCAAGAUUAACAAGAAGUAUUCAUUUCUUUCCUUUAUUAAAUUGCAAAGUUUAUGCAAAGGGCUGGAAUGACAGUUCUGGAGACCUGAAGUCCCCUAUGUAAUUGAAAAAAAGGUAUUGUAUAAACAGUGGUAUUAUAAGCACUCUCUCACUGCUCCCAAAAUGUCCCUCACUCACACUUUUGAACCAACAAAAAUCCUUAUGGUGGCACAAAGUGAAAGCAAAUAGAUAUUUAUACAUUUUGUUGCACCACAAAUGCACAAAUUAGUGACCAUGACAGAAAGUAAUAAUAAUUUUUGCCAUUUCAUUGCAGCAGAUGCCAUUUGCUUUAUGACAGGAGAGCAUGGACAGCCGAGAGCUGCCUGCACUCUGUAGCCUUCACCGGCAGGGGCUCAGGAGUUUGAAGGGGCUGAUCCUGAACACCCUAGGAAUUCCUAUGUAGGAUUGGGCUCCUUAAAUUCUAGGACAACCCUAGAAAGUCAGGGUUUCCCCACCUACCUAGAUAUGUCCUGGAGAUCCGAGGGAUGUGUCUCAGUUAGCAGGGAAACCUUGAUUUUCCCUGCUGUCACAAAUGCACCCCAGAGAUCCUGUGGGCAUGCUUCAGUAAGCAGGGAAUACUAGGCAGGCACUCCUAGGGCUUGAGGGGCCUGUUCCCGUGUAGGAAUUCUUGAGGGACCAGGACGGUGCCCCUCAAGUCCCAGGAGAACACAGAGCUAAUAAUGAGAAAUUACCAUGGAAAUAAUUACAAGCCACAGAUCCACUCUAAUUUGUGCUUCAUAAAGUAGUGAAAUCAAAGUUUCAGCAUUAGUACUGUAGCACUGAGGCAACAACUGAGACACUUUUGGAGAACUACCCAACAUUUCAGUUUUGUGAAUGAGAAAUUACAAAUCAUUUUUGUGGGAUUUAGUCCUUUAACAACAGUGGUGUUACUGUAUCUAAUUUUUACCAUGCCAGGCCUUUCCUUUUUGUUGGAACAUGCCUUAUGAGGACUUGCUGUAACAUCUGUAAUACCAGUUCCUAAGUAUAACCCUAAAUUAUAAAGAAACAUAAUAUGUGGGAACUGCUACUUUGUGAGUUCAUAAGUAAAAAAGAGGGUUUUUUUUCACGGAGGACAGAAUAUUCUAAUUUUGGGAAGGAUACUGGCCAUAGGCCCUAUUCUAGUUAAACCUCAGAUGGAAGAGAAAAAAGGUGCAAAAUCAAGAUUCAGCAUUUCUACUUUACGCUCUGGCAUCCUUGAAAAUAAAGGGUGCCUGUACAUGAGCGCCUAUACAUGAAAUUGCAGUGUGUGCUGGAGAAUGGCAAUUGCCGCACUCCAGCAGCCUCCUGCGUCUUGUGCAUUAGCAUCCCCACACUUCAAAAUGGCGGGGGUGCUUAAACAAGCUUUAGUUCAAAUGCCCCACCACCAUUUUCAAGUACAGGGAUGCCGAUACAGGAGACGUGGCAGCACUUUAAUUAGAGUGGCUCUCGGAGCUGCUCUGAUUAAAGUGCCACCCCCCUCGCCCCUAGUGCACGUGUAAAAGUGCCCAAAGAACCUGAUCCCAGGAGGGCAAUACAAAGAAAUGAGCUUAGGUUAUUUUGCUGAUAUAGUCCUCAAAACCCACAAAACCCAACAACUUAGUCUACCCAAUACAAAAGCUUGAAUUCCUGCCCCUCUCUGGAAUAUAGGUACCUGUCCAAAAUUAUACAUUAGGUACCUCUGUCCACUCUGAGAUUCAGAGUACUAAUCCUGAAGGUAGGAAUCCACCUUUUGUGUUAUAGCCUAGUGUUUAGCAUGCUCACCCAGGAAAUGGGAAACCUGGUUUCUCAGCCCAUUGACUUUGAGGUGACUCUGCACAGGUACAUGAAUCUCUGCAUGAACAACAUAUUGCAGAAUAUGGGGCAUGAGUGUGGGGGAGGUAAGAAAUCUAGUAGUAUAAAUGGCUUCUUCACUGGAGAACUAUAGAACUAUCACUUACUAUCAUUAUUUUAUCAUUUUCCUAUGGCUCAGGGUUUGGUUUGGUUUGGUUUUUUAUUAAGCUGCCUAGGGCUGGCCCAAUUGCUAAUAAACUGUAUUCAUUGUUAGCCCAUUGCUAAUGAACUGGAUGCAUGCUCUCUCUAACUUUAGUCUAUUUUAAUCACGUGUGAUCUAUUUUUUGAAAAGUUAAUGUUAUUACUACUUUAUUUUACUUGUGUAUUCUUUUUCUUCACUGUAAUGGUAAAAAUAUCCUUUUGGUCCUAUAGAACCACAAAUAUCCUUUGCACUGGCCUUAAAAUAUAGGCAUAGCUAUUCUGCUUGGACAGGAGAGGUCUCCCAUAAAUAGCAAGCCUGUUUGUUUAGGGGUGGUUUUGUUAGGUGGAGAAAAGGAGAGACAUUUCAAGACCGUUUUGUAUCAGCAGAUAUUUAGGCUCAGAAAUAUCUUUAUCCACUUUGGGAAUGCACUUCCUGUUUUGACUUGUACUCUAAGUAUAUAUAAUUUUUAAAUUACAGGUUUACGUCAAGAGAACAAUUUAGUCAAGUAUUACUUUCUUCAGAGAACACAUCCUUAUUGUUGCACAUAAAUUAUGGAAUGUGUGCAGGCUUAAAGAAUGUAUGAAACUACUAAAACAUCUGAUCAGUUUUACAGCUGCUCGGCAGCAAACAGCUCUGUCAGGAAGCUGCUAAAACAGAGGGCACUUUUACAUGUGCUUCUGGGGCGGAGGGGCAGUGCUUUAAUUACAGUGGCUGCCUGAGCUGCUGUAAUUAAGGUGCCUCAGUGCCUCGUGUAUUAGUGUCCCCACACUUCAAAAUGGCACUGGGAGUGCUUGAAUUAAAGCUUUUUCAACAAGCUUUAGUUCAAGGGCCCCCGCCACCAUUCUGAAGUGUGGGGAUGCUAAUACAUGAGAUGCAAGAGGCUGCUGGAUUAACUGAGUCUGCUCCAACACACUGGAUGUCCUUGCGCUGUCACCUGCCACUACUGAGAACAGUCUCGCUACAUCCUCUUUGGAACCAGCCUUCAGGUAGUUGAAGGCUGCUAUCAAAUCCCCCCUCAAUGCACCACUUUGAAGCACAGGGAUGCUAAUACACAAGACACAGGAGGCUGCUGGAGCAUGGUAAUUACCAUGCUGCAGCAGAUUCGAUUAAUUGAGGCUGCUCCAAUGCGCUGUAAUUACUACUCCCUCUGUGCUCAUGUACAGGCACCCAGAGAGAAGAAUGAGUUACAACUGAACUGGGAGAAAAGGGUAGCGUUUUGGAGAACCCAGACCAGGUAUCAUGUUCUCAACAUUUAAAGAUUUCCAUAUCUAUCUUAGGGGAAAAGAUCUGGAUAGAGAUCAUUUUUAUGCUCUCCAGUUCAAGGAAUUAAAUAGAUGAUCUUACUAGGUGCUGUUGUAUCAGUCAGAGUUUGGAUUAGUCACUUUUCCUCCAGUAAUUAGACAUUUGGCCUCUGUCUACUGAGGUUAGGUCAUGUAUUAACACCAGGUCAUUCCCUCAUUUAAAGUCUCCCAUGUUGUUGGUUCUUUGAGAUCCUUUCCUUGGGAUAGAAUAGCCAUGGCCCUGAGGCAAACUGUGCCACAAACUCACACCUACGAGGCACUGUGCCAGGGUGGGCAACCCAAGAAUUUAUUUAUUUUUGCUGACAAUCUGCACACUUUUUACUGACAUAUUCUUUUACUGAUAUGUUUUACAUGGUGUAAAUAUAACCCAUCUUCCAGGCCCUGGAUAACAGUAAAAAGGGCCAGGUUCAAAUUAAGGGGUCUAACACCAGCUUUCUAAAUCUGGCCAUGCAGAAUCUAAAUCCCCCAUGCAGAAACAUGAGAAAAUACAUUUUAACUGGGUGUUACAAACUGAACACAUUUCUCUACUCGCAAGCAACAUUCAAAUAAAAUAGGGUUUAUUAUAGGGAGAAAAAAUGAUAAGCACACAACCUGUGAGAAAAUCUUAACCAUUGAAUAUUAAUUGAACGCAAAACAACCCAGGGCAGCUAUCCCCUAGCCCAGUCUGUUGCAAAGAGACUCACCCAGGGCUGCUGUGCAGGGGCUCUACCACCUUAUCAGUCUUGCUUGACUGCAGCAAUGGUUUCAUACUGUGAUUCCCCUCCUCAGCCAACCCCCCACCCCCUUACCCCUCCAGCCCUGAUCUCCCCAUCCCAGAAUGGACCACGACCUGCCACAUCUCCUUCCCCACAACUUACCCAUUCUGGCUGUGCCACCCCUGCUCCCUAUCCUGCCUGGUACCUCAGACUGCCUGGGGUUGUGCUGCCUGCAAGGCUAGCAGCUGUUAAAGGCAGGUGACAGGUGAAGGGACAUAAUGGUAGUAAAUACCUGGGG